GCAGGUUGAAGCGCGGGUAAGACCGCGUGGAGGACCGAACCCACCUGGGUUGAAAACCGGGGGGAUGACUUGGGGCUAGGGGUGAAAGGCCAAUCAAAUUCCGUGAUAGCUGGUUCUCUCCGAAAUGCAUUUGGGUGCAGCGUCGGGUCAUUACGUCCCGGGGGUAGAGCUACUGGAUGCUUGCGGGCCCGUAUCGGGUACCAACAGCAACCAAACUCCGAAUACCGGUGACGCGUAUCCCGGCAGUGAGUCGGCGGGGGAUAAGCUUCGUCGUCGAAAGGGAAACAGCCCAGACCGUCGUCUAAGGUCCCGAAGCGUGUGCUAAGUGGGAAAGGAUGUGGAGUCGCAUAGACAGCCAGGAGGUUGGCUCAGAAGCAGCCACCCUUGAAAGAGUGCGUAACAGCUCACUGGUCUAGUGGUUCCGCGCCGACAAUGUAGCGGGGCUCAAGCACACCACCGAAGACGCGGCAGUAUUUUGUACUGGGUAGGAGAGCGUCCCAUGAGGGGCGAAGCGGCCGUGUGAACGCGCCGUGGACUUCAUGGGAGUGAGAAUGCAGACAUGAGUAGCGAGAGACGGGUGAAGAUCCCGUCCGCUGGAUGACCAAGGGUUCCAGGGCCACGUUCAUCGUCCCUGGGUGAGUCGGGUCCUAAGGCGAGGCCGACAGGCGUAGUCGAAUGGAUGAACGGGUCGAUAUUCCCGUACCGGCUUUCAGCCGCCAAAACCGAGGCUUGGAGUACUAACCUCCGGGUCCGGGCUUACUGCUCCUUCGGGGGCGGGAUGCCCUGGCCUGUUGGGACCGAUCCUUGUAGUAGGUCAGCGCAGGAGUGACGCAGAAGGGUAGCCGGCCGCGGAGGUGGUCUUCCGUGGUCAAGCACGCAGGGCGUGGGACAGGCAAAUCCGUCCCGCAUGGGUCCGAGGUGCGAUGAUGGGGGCCUUAUGGCCCGAUAUCCGGUGAUCCCGGCUGCCGAGAAAAGCUUCGGCGUCAGGCUCAAAGCCGCCCGUACCCCAAACCGACACUGGUGGUCAGGUAGAGAAUACCAAAGCGAUCGAGCGAAUCCUGGUCAAGGAACUCGGCAAAUCACUCCCGUGCCUUCGGUAUAAGGGAGACCCGCUGGGGUGAACCGGCUAGCCCGGGGAGCUUUGGUGGGUGGCACAGACCAGGGGGUAGCGACUGUUUACCAAAAACACAGGUGCAUGCGAAGGCGCAAGCCGCUGUAUAUGCACUGACGCCUGCCCGGUGCCGGAAGGUUAAGAGGAUCCGUCAGCCUUCGGGUGAAGCGGUGAAUUCAAGCCCCGGUAAACGGCGGUGGUAACUAUAACCAUCCUAAGGUAGCGAAAUUCCUUGUCGGGUAAGUUCCGACCUGCACGAAUGGCGUAACGACUUCCCCACUGUCUCGACCAGGAGCUCGGCGAAAUUGCAGUACGAGUAAAGAUGCUCGUUAAGCGCAGAAGGACGAAAAGACCCCGGGACCUUUACUAUACCUUGGUAUUGGCAUUCGGUGUGGAUUGUGUAGCAUAGGCGGGAGGCCGAGAGGCGCGGUCGCCAGAUCGCGCGGAGCCGUAAGGUGAAAUACCGCUCUGUUCGCAUUGGAUGUCUAACCUCGAACAGUCAUCCUGUUCAGGGACAGUGCCUGGCGGGUAGUUUAACUGGGGCGGUUGCCUCCCAAAGAGUAACGGAGGCGCCCAAAGGUCCGCUCAGCCCGGUUGGCAAUCGGGUGGCGAGUGCAAGUGCACAAGCGGGCUUGACUGCGAGGACGACGGUCCGAGCAGGGACGAAAGUCGGGACUAGUGAUCCGGUGCCGGUGUACGGACGCGGCAUCGCUCAACGGAUAAAAGGUACCCCGGGGAUAACAGGCUGAUCAUUCCCAAGAGUCCAUAUCGACGGGAUGGUUUGGCACCUCGAUGUCGGCUCGUCGCAUCCUGGGGCUGGAGCAGGUCCCAAGGGUUCGGCUGUUCGCCGAUUAAAGCGGCACGCGAGCUGGGUUCAGAACGUCGUGAGACAGUUUGGUCUCUAUCCUCUGCGCUCGUUGGAAUGCUGAGGAGGCCUGCCCAUAGUACGAGAGGACCUGGGUGGACGAACCUCUGGUAUGCCGGUUGUC
rnacentral:rRNA from 1 species